rnacentral:rRNA from 1 species
UACGGAGGGUGCUAGCGUUGUUCGGAAUCACUGGGCGUAAAGGGCGCGUAGGCGGCGCGACAAGUCAGGCGUGAAAGCCCCGGGCUCAACCCGGGAAUUGCGCUUGAUACUGUCGUGCUUGAGGCCGGGAGAGGAUGGCGGAAUUCCCAGUGUAGAGGUGAAAUUCGUAGAUAUUGGGAAGAACACCGGUGGCGAAGGCGGCUCACUGGCUCGUUUCUGACGCUGUAGCGCGAAAGCGUGGGGAUCAAACAGG